UUAUUGUUCAUGUUCAUUGUUCAUAGACAUUGUUCACGUACUGUUAAUAUAUUAUUUUAUUUUAAAAACACAAUAUUUAUCGUAUAAAUACAGUGAACACUGUAUACGGUGUAAGUAUUUGGUGUAGAAAAUGGUGUAGGAAUAACAAUGUUGAAGAAGAAAAAUAUUAUUCUUACACUACAUUCAACAUCUACACCGUAUUUUAUUGUUAACCAUUACGGUGAAUAGUAAAAUAUUAU
rnacentral:lncRNA from 1 species